GACGAACGCUGGCGGCGUGCUUAACACAUGCAAGUCGAACGGAGAGGCCUGCUUUUCCUUGUGGAUUUCGGGUACUCGAGUGGCGAACGGGUGAGUAACACGUGAGUCAUCUGCCCCCAACUGGGGUAUAAGCCUGGGAAACUGGGUCUAAUUCCCUAUAGGGCUGCAUGCUGGUGCCUGUGGUGGAAUACGAUUGUCUAGUGGUUGGGGAUGAGCUCGCGGCCUAUCAGGUUGUUGGUGGGGUAAUGGCCUACCAGGGCGGGGACGGGUAGCCGGCCUGGGAGGGUGCGCGGGCACAUUGGGACUGAGCUAAGGGCCAGAGUGAUACGGCAGGCAGCAGUGGGGAAUGUAGCAGAAUGGGUGGAAGACUGAGGGCGCGACGCUGAGUGAGGGAUGACGGGUGUCGGGUUGUAAACUUCUUUCGGCAGAGAGGAAGUAACAUGGUUGGAAGGAUAGUGACGGUAGUGGUAGAAGAAGCACCGGCUAACUACGUG
rnacentral:rRNA from 1 species